GCGGGAGUAGCUCAGUUGGUAGAGCUUCAGUUUUCCAAACUGAAUGUCGCGAGUUCGAGUCUCGUCUCCCGCUCCA
rnacentral:tRNA from 1 species